rnacentral:rRNA from 1 species
UACGUAGGGUGCAAGCGUUGUCCGGAAUUAUUGGGCGUAAAGAGCUCGUAGGCGGUUUGUCGCGUCUGCUGUGAAAACUGGAGGCUCAACCUCCAGCCUGCAGUGGGUACGGGCAGACUAGAGUGCGGUAGGGGGAGAUUGGAAUUCCUGGUGUAGCGGUGGAAUGCGCAGAUAUCAGGAGGAACACCGAUGGCGAAGGCAGAUCUCUGGGCCGUAACUGACGCUGAGGAGCGAAAAGCAUGGGGAGC